UACGUAGGGUGCAAGCGUUGUCCGGAAUUAUUGGGCGUAAAGAGCUCGUAGGCGGCCAGUUGCGUCCGCUGUGAAAUCCCGGGGCUUAACCCCGGGCGUGCAGUGGAUACGGGCUGGCUAGAGGCAGGCAGGGGAGAACGGAAUUCCCGGUGUAGCGGUGAAAUGCGCAGAUAUCGGGAGGAACACCGGUGGCGAAGGCGGUUCUCUGGGCCUGUACUGACGCUGAGGCGCGAAGGCUAGGGGAGCGAACGGG
rnacentral:rRNA from 1 species